rnacentral:lncRNA from 1 species
AGAAACUCACCUUCUUUUUUCUUUUUUUUUUGUAAUGUAGGUUGAAUUCUACAAUAAAAAUAUAUACAUAUUUACCAUUAAGUUAUCACUUUUAAUCGACAAUCUUGCCUUGCGUAUUGACAUGGAGAAAUUAAAAUUUACCAUUAGUUUUAGAAUGAGGGAAUUGUAAUUACAAUUUUAUCCCUGGAGAGAGAGAAAACAAAUUCUCUCUCUAUUC